rnacentral:rRNA from 1 species
GACGAACGCUGGCGGCGUGCCUAACACAUGCAAGUCGAGCGGGAACCUCAGGAGGGGUAACCCUCCUGAGGGGAGAGCGGCGAACGGGUGAGUAACACGUGGGCAACCUGCCCCGGACACCGGGAUAACCCAGGGAAACCUGAGCUAAUACCGGAUACUCCGGCGAGAUCGCAUGGUCGCGCCGGGAAAGCUCCGACGGUCCGGGAUGGGCCCGCGGCCUAUCAGCUGGUUGGUGGGGUAACGGCCCACCAAGGCGACGACGGGUAGCUGGGCUUGGAGGACGGCCAGCCACACGGGGACUGAGACACGGCCCAGACUCCGACGGGAGGCAGCAGUGGGGGAUCUUGCGCUAAUGCGCGAAAGCGUGACGCAGCGACGCCGCGUGGGGGAUGAAGGCCCUCGGGUUGUAAACCCCUUUCGGCAGGGACGAAGCGAAAGUGGCGGUACCUGCAGAAGAAGUCCCGGCUAACUACGUGCCAGCCGCCGCCGUAAGAC